UAGGAGGGUGACCAUGAGCAAGAGAUGAUCAGGCAGAAGGCUGUGAUGGGGAAAGGAGCACAUGGACAGGCAUUAAGCUGACAACUGUCAAGAACUGUCCCCUGCCAUUUCACCUGAGCUGACCUGAUCUCCCCAGGGGAAUGAGCCUCGUCUUGCAAGUCCCCUUCUUUGGGUCCCUGGCAGCGCUGCUGCAGGAUACAAGGAACAGGAUGCUAUGACGAGAUAUGCAUUGAGAAGCUUCAGUCCUGCCUCCAUCCUUAUCUUCUUCUCCCUGGACCAAAAGUGAUAAUUGUCAUUUGAUCCUUAUUUAUUUUUAGAAAUAAAACUCUUAUGCAGAUACCAACACAUACAAAUCUGUAUUCUUAUACCCUCUAUUUCUUACACACAAGACAAGGGAAACCAAGAAUGAUCUGGAUAAUGGAGAAACCUGUUAAUACAACUGGAUUUGAAUCACACUACUGGCUGAAAUUCACACAACCGGAUUGGGAUCCCACUGUGUAAUUUUAGGAUGCUCAAGCAUCAUGGCAUCAUUUCCAGUGGAGUCGCUGAACUUGUAGGUUGUCUACCUGACACCUCGAGGUCCUUACACCAAGAAGUCAGCUGUGAAGCCCGCUGAGUCCUCGGGUGGAUGUCUGCCACCACAUACAUAGCCUUUGCUGGUGGCUUGGAGAGCUGGCAGGUCAGCCACAGAAAGUGGGCAAGACCUAGUCAGUAGCGACAGGAUAUGUUCCCAGGAUGGACAGCUGCCUGAUAUGCGUUCAGUUCCAGUGCCAAAGCCAAGGGCUGCCAGUGCCCUUCCUUCAUGCUAAGGACUUCUCUCUCUCCAGGACAGCGGAUGCCUGUUUGGAAGGCUGGAUUGGACUGAGCCACAUGGCAGAGCCUUGGAGAUGGCAGGGGAGGGAAGUCGAAGACAUGGAGUGGUUUGACAUUUGUGCAUAGUAUGAAGAAAGAUCAUCAAGGCUGAAAUGUGUCUGCUAAGAGGCUUCAGCUCAUGUUUGCUAAUCUCCUGUAUGGUGAAACACUGGCACCCAGACAAACCCUCAUUCACAUCAGAACAAAGCGCUAGUUAUGUGUGUUGAAAUUCCUUAAAGAAAAUGUCUUGCAGGCUGCUGGGGAGUGCGUGAAUGCUGGAAAUGCUUCACCAAGAGUUACUCAAUGUCCUGGGAAGACGGUCUGCUGGCAUCUGAGGGCUCACCCUAGAGAAGAGUGGUUGUACUCCAGGGCACAUGGGUCUGGUGAGGACAGAGAAGCAUGGGUGGAUGGGUGGGUGGAGAUGAGGGUGGAUGUUUUCUCUGUAAUCGUCUCCGGCCAGGCUGGAGCCCGAACCAGACUACCCACUUUAUUAGUCCAUUGAGAAUAUCUAAAGUCAGGCUUCUCAGCACAGCUGCCAUUUCCCCUGCUUGGGACCAGAUUUUCCUGUUUUCUGAGGGCUUCCAAGUAAGUUGGAAGUUCCUUGGGUUUCCACAACUUUGACUUAAUGAAGAAACAAGGUCAAGAAUCAGAGGAAAGGUUUUUGGAUGGGCCUCAGAGGUCUGAAAUGGUUAGGUGGGAGUCUAAAGGUAUAGGAGAGAAACUAAAUCAGUUGUAGCCCCAGCUGUUUGGAGAUGAUGCCAGCAGAUGGGAUUGAGUAAGCGACCACAGGUUGCAGAGGGUGGCAGAUGGGAGGCGGAUGUGGAAAUGGGGUCCCAGUCAGAAAUGAACACCACUAGAGGAGCAGGAAGAAGGGCCAAGCAAGAGCAGUGGUUCUCAUUGUGGUUUCUGGACUAGCGGCGGCAGCAGCACCCACGAUGUAGAUGUCAACUCUUAACUCCACUCGGAAACCCACUGAAUCAGAAACUCAGGUGGUGAAGCCCAACCAGCGGUACUUGAAUAAGUCCUCCAGUGAGUCUGAUGGACACUAAAGUUUAAGAACCACUGAGUCAGGGAACCCCAAGGGAGGCAAUUGCUAAGGAACUGCAAGAGAGGAAUUAGGGGCUGGGCCAGGGGCCAGGCGCGGUGGCUCACACCUGUAAUCCCAGCACUUUGAGAGGCUGAGGCAGGAGAAUGGCUUGAGCCCAGGAGUUCAAGACUAGCCUGGGCAACAUAGUGAAACCCUGACUCUACAAAGAACACAAAAUUGGCCAGGCAUGGUGGUAGCCACCUGCAGUCCUAACUACUCGGGAGGAUCACUUGAGCCUGGGAGAUGGAGGUUGCAGUGAGCUGAGAUCACACCUCUGGGCUACAGCCUGGGUGAUAGAGCAAGACCCCAUCUCAAAAAAAAAAAAAAAAAAGACGGCAGGAUUAGGGAAACUUCUAGAAUGAGGAGGAGAUGGCCCUGAAAGCACAGGGGGACAAGGAGAGUGAACUGAAAAGUAGAAAGAAGUUCUUCUCCAUAAGAAAAAAAGGUGAUGAGAGCUACAAUAAAAAACUACUAGUCACAACGGCUGCAGCUCAAGGUAGCCUGGAUUCUUGAUAAGCACACACCCGCCACUGGUGUCACGCUGAAGCUGGAAGGACCGCCUCUGCUAACAACAGUGAAGAACAAAUGUGGAUGCAAAUGGCUCUUAGAAGUCAGACAAAGGGAAGUUGCAUUGCUGAGAUUCACCUGCAGGUCCCAGCAUGGCUCAUUUGUUCUCUGGAGUAGUGGGUUGAAUGGUAGCCCCCCGCCCCCAUAGAUAUCCUAACCCCUAGAAUCUGUGAACGUGAUCUUAUUGUGGCAGCAGGCCUGUAAUCCAAGCUACUCUGGAAGCUGAAGGGGGAGGAUUUCUUGAGGCCAGAGGUUCGAGACCGGCCUAGGCAACAUAGCAAGAGACCCCUUCCAUCUCCAAAAAAUGAAGGAUAUCCAGAUGAGAUCAUCCUGGAUUAUCUGAGUGGGUCUUAAAUCCAAUGACAUCCAAAUUUAUAAGAGAUGAAAGAGGAGGAAAAGAGAGAUAUGCAGAGGAGAAGGUGAUGGGAAGAUGGAGGCAGGAAUUGGAGUGACACAUCCAUAAACAUGUAGACAUAAAGGGAAUGCCUGUAGUCACCAGCAGUGGGAAGAGGUAAGGCGGGAUUGUCCCGCAGAGCCUUCAGAGGAGGCAUGGCCCUGCUAACACCUUGAUUUUUGGACUUCUGACCUCCAGAAAUGAAAGAAAAUAAAUUACUAUUGCUUUAAGCCACCAAAUUUGUGGUGAUUUAUUAUAGCAGCUCUAGGAAAUUAAUAUACCUGGCUUAAGGGAAGAGGCAUGGGAUUUGAAGACAGACAGACUGGUGUCUUGAACUUUUUGAAUGUUACUCCCUAGGGUGGGAUGUGAACUCUGAGUCACAGCAGUCCCCACGUGGCUUGAGUCCCUCAUUACUUUAGCUAUCUGCCUCCUAUGAGCAUCUUAGCUUUGUAUCCUCUGGGUAACUUCACCUCUCCAGUCUUCUCCACCUUUGACAUCUUAUUAUUCCAGCAAGGGGGGUGGGGAAGGUGGAUUACCUCAAAUCUUUGGAGCAAUGUUUGGGGAUGAUGUAGUCUACCAUCCUUUGAAUAGCUUGGCUGAUUUACCAUUGAGGAAGAAAGAAAUUUCUUCUUGAGAUGUAGUGUGAUGCCUUUUUCAGAACCAGCCACUCUAGUGAUUUUUAAUAAAAAAAAUUAUUGUCUCAUGGCUGGGUUUCUGUCAUUCCUUCCAGAAGGUGGGAGGCUGUGAGUUUGGAAAAUUAGUGUCUGGUGACUGUGGGUGAGAAGGCCCUUUCCUACAUAACAGAAGAAAUAAACAC
rnacentral:lncRNA from 10 species